rnacentral:tRNA from 1 species
GCGGGCGUAGCUCAGCUGGUAGAGCACGACCCUUCCAAGGUCGGGGCCGCAGGUUCGAACCUUGUCGCCCGCACCA